rnacentral:rRNA from 1 species
AACGAACGCUGGCGGCAGGCUUAACACAUGCAAGUCGAACGCCCCGCAAGGGGAGUGGCAGACGGGUGAGUAACGCGUGGGAAUCUACCUAGUUCUACGGAACAACAGUUGGAAACGACUGCUAAUACCGUAUACGCCCUACGGGGGAAAGGAUUUAUCGGAAUUAGAUGAGCCCGCGUAAGAUUAGCUAGUUGGUGAGG